UACGAAGGGGGCUAGCGUUGUUCGGAAUCAUUGGGCGUAAAGGGCGCGUAGGCGGCGCGGUAAGUCAAAGGUGAAAUCCCUCGGCUCAACUGAGGAACUGCCUUUGAAACUGCCGUGCUUGAGUCCGGGAGGGGGUAGCGGAAUUCCCAGUGUAGCGGUGAAAUGCGUAGAUAUUGGGAGGAACACCAGUGGCGAAGGCGGCUACCUGGACCGGUACUGACGCUGAUGCGCGAAAGCGUGGGGAGCAAACAGG
rnacentral:rRNA from 1 species